rnacentral:rRNA from 1 species
GAUGAACGCUAGCGGGAGGCUUAACACAUGCAAGUCGAGGGGCAUCACGAGGUAGCAAUACUUUGGUGGCGACCGGCGCACGGGUGAGUAACACGUAUGCAACCUUCCCUGUACAGGGGGAUAACCCGGAGAAAUUCGGACUAAUACCCCAUGAUGAUAUUAUGGGGCAUCCUUUAAUAUUUAAAGCUCUGGCGGUACAGGAUGGGCAUGCGCGACAUUAGCUAGUUGGUAAGGUAACGGCUUACCAAGGCGACGAUGUUUAGGGGACCUGAGAGGGUUGUCCCCACACUGGUACUGAGACACGGACCAGACUCCUACGGGAGGCAGCAGUGGGGAAUAUUGCACAAUGGGGGAAACCCUGAUGCAGCAACGCCGCGUGAGUGAUGACGGCCUUCGGGUUGUAAAACCCUUUCGUGCGGAAAGAAUAGUCUCGUAGCGAAUAACUAUGGGAUUUGACGGUACCGCAGGAAGAAGCACCGGCUAACUCCGUGCCAGCAGCCGCGGUAAG